rnacentral:lncRNA from 1 species
UCUUUUCUUCCUCCGCCAUGAACCCAAGAGAAACUAUCUUCUUCAUUUUUUUUCUCUACAUCAAAAUUGCUUCAAAAUUUCACCUCCAAUCAAUUACCCAUCUUCUCCCAACACCUUUCCAAAGUAGAAUUUGAAGAAAAGAAGAGAAAAUCAAAGAGAAAAUUCAAGGUUGAGGGAGAGUGAAUAGUAAUCAAGGGUUAGAAAAUUUAAAGGUAUGUUAGGGGUUUUGAUAUAGGAAUGUUUCUUAUCAUUUUUAUGUGAAUAUUUAUGAGGAAUAUUGUAUUAAUAUGAUUUAUUUAUUUAUUUUUCAUGAAGAAGAAGUGGAAGGGAAGAGUGGAAAUUCUAAAGGAAAAGGAAGAGAAAAAGGAAGAUUAGAAAAUUUUAAGGUUUGUGCUCAACUUUAUUUGACUAAAUUUAAGAAUUUAUUAAUUAUGUUCUAUUUAAAAAUUUUACUACCCUAGUAGAAAUAGAUAAGUGAAUAAUAGUUUAAUUAUAUUGUAUAAUCAAAGUUUGAGAAAUGAUAGAUUUAAUAGAUAGAAAAUUUUAAAAUUAAUAUGUAAUUUAACUAAAAUUUAAGUUAUGGAUCAAAUGAAAUGACUCUAUAUUUUUUUGAUAGAAAUAUAAUUUGCUUAGAUAUAGUUACAAUAAAAAAAAAUUUAGUAGAAAAAAAAAAGAGUGAUAUUAGAUUAGAUGAAAAAAAAAAGAAAUUAAAGGGAUAAGAAAAGUGAGAUACAGAGUAAAUAUGAUGUUUAAAAAUAAUAAUAAUAAUAUAAGAUAAAAACAGAAAUUCAAAGAAAAAAAAUGAAUGAAAAAUGAAAUAAGGUGUAUUGUGAUAAAUAGAAAAAAAUAUAUAUAUAUUAUAUUAGAAAAAAAUAAUAAUUAAAAAGAAUAAUAGUUAAUUAAUUAAGGAUUAAAUUAUGAAUUUAUAAUUUAUGUAGUUGAAUUAAAUUAAUAGAUUUACAUUAUAUGAUAAUGUUUAAAAGCUGAGUUGUAAUAUAAUAAAAUAUUAUAGUUUGAACAAUUGAAAGUUAUGUUGUAUUGAAAGUUUUUGUUCCUAUAUUUAAAUAUAUAAAUUAUUUAAAGUCUGACCCUAGUAAGUUUGGUGAGAAUUGUGAGUUAGUUUAAGGGUGUGGCAUGCCAUAUACAGAUCUUGCAGUACUGCACUACAGUUACACUGAUUUUUGGGAUACAAUGAGGUACCCUACAGUUAUAGAAUCGGCUUUUGAGCUAUACAGUUAUUUGGCACUUUGUGCCCUACAGAUAUAAUUCUCUUAUCUGACUUAACAGUCCCAUUUAAAUUUAUAGGGGCCAAAGAAAAUAUAAAAAAAAAUCAUGAAUUACAUGAUAUAAAUUAAAAUAAAAAUAAGAGAACAGUUAUAAAAUGUGAUGCCUCUUGCUUGGUUAAUUAAAUGACCGGGUAAGGGGUGUUACAUUUAGUGGUAUCAGAGCAGGUUUAGUCGACUCUAGGCAAUAUGUGGAUAAAUAGUUAGGUAUAGGAAUGUGCACAUGCCAUAUAUAUUAAAGAUAUGAUGUAACUCUGAUGCAGAUCUAUUUUAUGAAAAUUUAAUAUUAUAGGAUGUCUGAAGAACGGAAAGAACUUCAAGUCGGAGAAGAAGUAGAAAGUCAUGUACCGACUGAGGCCACUGGCCAUGCACCGCCACAGGCUCCUCCUGGUACUAGAAGUCCAGAGCAGGAGGUCUUAUUGCAGCAAUUAACAGAGAUUUUCAGACAGGUGGCUGGAGUAGCUCAGCCAGCUAUAGUUCCACCUCCGGCUCCUGCAUCAGCACCAGCCAGGCCGCCUAUUAAUAAACUGAGAAAGUAUGGUGCUACAGAAUUUAAAGGAAGAAAGGAAGAUGAUGCAUCCGCAGCAGAAUAUUGGUUGCAAAGUACAGACAGGGUGCCUCAGCAGCUACAGUGUUCCCCAGAAGAUAGUCUCAUAUGUGCAGUGUCACUAUUGAAAGAAGAAGCCUACCAAUGGUGGGACACUGUGGCCCAGACAGUGCAACCAAUACAGAGGACAUGGGAGUUGUUUUUGAAUGAGUUCAGAAAGAGAUACGUAGGUGACAUAUAUAUGGAGGAGAGAAAAAGGGAGUUUAUCUAUUUGAGGCAGGGACGUAUGACAGUAGCUGAGUAUGAAAGGGAGUUUAUUAGAUUGAGCAGAUAUGCCAGGGAGAUUAUUCCUACAGAGGAGGCAAAAUGUAAAAGAUUUGAGCAAGGGUUAAACACUGAGAUCAAGAUGCUUCUAGUUGCUCUUCAAAUCAUAGAUUUUUCAGCACUGGUGGAUGCAGCUUUAAAUGUAGAGAAAGUGAGGGAAGAAGACCAAAGUAGAAGACAGAUGAGUCAGCAAAAAAGGACUCACAACCAAAAUCAGAGUCAAGGACAAAUGAUAGCUUCACAAGGCUCUAGUAAGAGACAGAAAAGUUUUCAACCUAUUAGAUCAAGCCAGUCUCAAAGGCAAGGCCAAAAAUCAGCUCAGAGUUUAGCAAGUGGGUCUGUUCAACAGACUGCUUCUGUGGCCAGUUCAGGAGGCUCAGGAAGAAGUCUUCCAACAGAGUGUGAUCACUGCAGAAGGAGACAUACUGGUACUUGCAGACUGCUGACAGGAGCUUGUUUCAUAUGUGGCUCGAUGGAUCACAUUAUGAGGGAUUGCCCUAAGAAGCAAACAGGCUUAGCACCAUCAACAGAAAGAACUGCACCAGUAACUCAAAAGACUAGAAGCAAAGGUAGAAGUGAGCUGACAGGUACCUCUAGUCAAAGAGUGUCAAAGACCAUGGAUAGACCGGAAUCUAGAGCACCUGCCAGAGCCUAUACCAUCAAAGCCAGAGAGGAUCAGGAUUCCUCAAAUGUUAUCAUGGGUAUAUUUUCUAUCUUUGGUCGGUCUGUUCAUGCUUUAAUAGAUCCUGGUUCUACACACUCUUAUAUUUGCAUACCUAUCACAAAUAAAAAAGAACUACAAGCAGAUAUUCUAGAUCAGGAUAUAGUAGUAACUAAUCCUCUUGGCCACAGUGUAGUUGUCAGUAAAGUAUUUAAAGAUUGCCCCAUCUUGAUUCACGGUCACAUUUUUCAUGGAGAUUUGAUUGAAUUACCUUUUCGGGAGUUUGAUGUGAUUCUAAGAAUGGAUUGGUUGUUUAGACACCAAGUUAUAGUUGACUGUAGAAAGAAGAGAAUCAUGCUAAAGACACCUGAAGGUGAAGAAGUAGUAGUUGUGGGCGAGAGAUCAGAUUUUCUCUCCAAUGUUAUUUCUGCUACUGCAGCCAGAAGAAUGAUAAGAAAGGGUUGUGGGGCAUACUUAGCCUGCGUUUUGGAGGCUAAGAAGGAGAAACAUAUUGUGCAAGAUAUACCUACUAUUUGCGACUUCUCUGACGUCUUUCCAGAUGAAUUACCAGGAUUACCUCCAGAAAGAGAAGUAGAAUUUGCCAUAGAAGUUGUACCAGGCACUACACCCAUAUCAAUUGCUCCUUAUAGGAUGGCUCCCACAGAAUUAAAAGAAUUAAAAGUGCAGCUACAAGAAUUACUUGAUAAGGGUUUCAUACGCCCCAGUAUCUCUCCCUAGGGUGCACCAGUGCUAUUUGUUAAGAAGAAGGAUGGUUCGCUGCGAUUGUGCGUGGAUUACAGACAACUCAACAAGGUGACUGUCAAAAAUAAAUAUCCACUGCCCCGUAUAGAUGAUUUGUUUGAUCAGCUAAAGGGAGCGAGUGUCUUUUCUAAAAUUGACCUAAGAUCAGGUUAUUAUCAGCUCAGAGUAAAGGAUGCAGAUAUUCCAAAGACUGCGUUCAGGACCCGAUAUGGGCAUUACAAAUUCCUUGUUAUGCCAUUCGGUUUGACUAAUGCUCCAGCUGCAUUUAUGGACUUGAUGAAUCAUAUCUUUCACCCUUUCUUGGACCAGUUUGUUCUUGUGUUCAUAGAUGACAUUCUUGUCUAUUCAAAGACAAAAGAAGAGCAUGAUAGGCACUUGAGGAUUGUGUUACAAACGCUGAGGGAGAAACAACUUUAUGCUAAAUUCAGUAAAUGUGAAUUUUGGCUGAAUGAAAUAUCUUUUCUGGGACAUGUAGUAUCUGCAGAAGGCAUAAGGGUCGAUCCCAAAAAGAUAGAGACUAUCCUUGUAUGGAAGCCACCCAAGAACAUUACAGAAGCCAGAAGCUUCUUGGGGUUAGCUGGUUAUUACAGAAGGUUUGUAAAAGGAUUUUCUCAAAUAGCUGCUCCACUGACAAGGUUGUUGCAGAAAAAUGUCAAGUUUGAAUGGAAUGACAAGUGUCAGGCCAGUUUUGAUCGAUUAAAGGCUAUGCUCACAAAGGCACCUGUCCUUACACAACCAGUGUCAGGUAAGGAUUUUGUGAUUUAUAGUGAUGCCUCUCACAAUGGACUUGGUUGCGUGUUGAUGCAAGAUGGAAAAGUUGUUGCUUAUGCUUCUAGACAAUUAAAGUCACAUGAAAGAAACUAUCCCACUCAUGAUUUAGAAUUAGCAGCCAUAGUCUUUGCAUUAAAGAUUUGGAGGCAUUACUUAUAUGGUGAAAAGUGUUACAUUUAUAUGGAUCAUAAAAGUCUAAAGUACUUGCCAACUCAAAAAGAGUUAAAUUUGAGACAAAGGAGAUGGAUGGAGCUGUUAAAAGACUACGAUUGUAUUAUUGACUACCACCCUGGCAAAAAGGCCAAACUGAGUCCUAGGUUUAUCGGUCCUUAUGAAUAGAACGUGUAGGACCGGUAGCCUACAAGCUAGCCUUACCACCAGAACUUGACAAGAUACACAAUGUCUUUCAUGUUUCCAUGCUUAGAAGAUACAGGUCAGAUCCCUCUCAUAUCCUCCCAGCAGAAUCUGUGGAUGUACAGCCAAACUUGUCAUAUGAAGAAGAACCUGUGAAAAUUCUAGCAAGAGAAAUAAAAGAGUUGAGAAACAAAAGAAUUCAUAUGGUUAAAGUUCUGUGGAGGAAUCACAAAGUAGAAGAAGCAACUUGGGAGAGCCAAGAUGUCAUGAAAGUAUAGUAUCCUCAUCUCUUUAAUACAGGUAAAAUUUUGAGGACGAAAUUUUUAUAAGAGGGGUAGAGUUGUAACAUCUCAAAAAAAAAAGAAAAAAGAAAAUAAAUAAAUAAAUAAAAAGAAUAAGAAAAAAAAAAGAAAAAGAGAAGAGAAAAAAAAAAGAUAAAUUAAAUUUUAAUUUAAGGACAAGUGGUACUUUGCUAGCCACUUGACCAAAUAAAAAAAAAAAGAAAAGAAAAGAAGAAGAAAAAAGAAAAGACUAGAAGAGGGAGGAAGUUAUCUUCUUCAAUUUCUUUUCUUCCUCUGCCGUGAACCCAAGAGAAACUAUCUUAUUCAUUUUUUUUCUCUACAUCAAAAUUGCUUCAAAAUUUCACCUCCAAUCAAUUACCCAUAUUCUCUCAACACCUUUCCAAAGUAGAAUUUGAAGAAAAGAAGAGAAAAUCAAAGAGAAAAUUCAAGGUUGAGGGAGAGUAAAUAGUAACCAAGGGUUGGAAAAUUUAAAGGUAUGUUAGGGGUUUUGAUAUAGGAAUGUUUCUUAUCAUUUUUAUGUGAAUAUUUAUGAGGAAUAUUGUAUUAAUAUGAUUUAUUUGUUUAUUUUUCAUGAAGAAGAAGUGGAAGGGAAGAGUGGAAAUUCUAAAGGAAAAGGAAGAGAAAAGGAAGAUUAGAAAAUUUUAAGGUUUGUGC